rnacentral:lncRNA from 1 species
GUUACAGAAAGCUUCCUCUUCAGAGAGGCAAACAGGAAAUCUGCUUUUUUGGUUGUUUUUUUAAGUGAGUCAUGUUGAAGGUGUUUUGUGUGACAUCUCUGCCUGCGGUCCUGGACUGCCUUGUCCAUGUUACCUGUCGCGGGACCACCAGAGGCUGAUUCUGGGGUGGGUUCUGGAGGCAGCCUAGCUGAGUCAUCUAGAACAGCUACCAGCGGAAAAGAGGAAGAGAGAUUCAUUUGGAACCAUUUCUACAAUUUUGGUGGAAGAUGUGACUCAGGGCCACUUAUCCAAACACAGCAAGAUUGGAAUAUAUAAGGUCUGGGGUAGUAAUAACUGGACUAAAGUUUCCAGGGCACCCCCAUUCUGGUGCAGAUUUGGACCUGGUACCUAUCCCAUUGGUGGCAAGGGCAGCUGGAUGCUGCUGGUCUGUUGUGUCAGAGUGCUCUCGGCUGCGUGUUAGAGAAG